UACGUAGGGGGCAAGCGUUGUCCGGAUUUAUUGGGCGUAAAGAGCGUGUAGGCGGUCAGGUAGGUCCGUUGUGAAAACUCGAGGCUCAACCUCGAGCUGUCGGCGGAAACUGCUUGGCUAGAGUCCGGAAGAGGAGAGUGGAAUUCCUGGUGUAGCGGUGAAAUGCGCAGAUAUCAGGAAGAACACCUAUGGCGAAGGCAGCGCUCUGGGACGGUACUGACGCUGAGACGCGAAAGCGUGGGGAGCGAACAGG
rnacentral:rRNA from 1 species